AGUCUGGUGCCAGCAGCCGCGGUAAUUCCAGCUCCAAUAGCGUAUAUUAAAGUUGUUGCAGUUAAAAGCUCGUAGUUGGAAAUUGGGCGUCGCCGGGCGGUCCAUCCUUUGUGGUGCGUACUGCUCUAUUCUAUUCUUUCGGGGGUAGAUGGCGGUUCCCUGAGCGGGUCCUCAUUCUCUUUCACGAGAGGAUGCGGGACACGCGGUUACCUUGAGUAAAUUAGAGUGUUCAAAGCAGGCUUUAUAGCUUGAAUAGAUUAGCAUGGAAUAACGGAAUAGGACUGGGGUCUUGUUUUGCUGGUUCUCAGGACCACGGUAAUGAUCAACAGGGACAGUUGGGGGCACUCGUAUUUCAUUGUCAGAGGUGAAAUUCUUGGAUUUAUGAACGACGAACUUUUGCGAAAGCAUCUGCCAAGGAUGUUCUCAUUAAUCAAGAACGAAAGUUGGGGGAUCGAAGACGAUUAGAUACCGUCGUAGUCUCGACUGUAAACGAUGCCGACUAGGGAUCGCGCGCUGUUGCAUUAUGGACGCGCGCGGCACCUCGCGAGAAAUCCAAGUGUUUAGGUUCCGCGGGGAGUAUGGUCGCAAGGCUGAAACUUAAAGGAAUUGACGGAAGGGCACCACCAGGAGUGGAGCCUGCGGCUUAAUUUGACCCAACACGGGGAAACUCACCAGGUCCGGACAUGGCGAGGAUUGACAGAUUGAGAGCUCUUUCUUGAUUCCAUGGAUGGUGGUGCAUGGCCGUUCUUAGUUGGUGGAGUGAUUUGUCUGCUUAAUUGCGAUAACGAACGAGACCUUGGUCUGCUAACUAGCAACGCAUUUCUUUGUAAAGGCGGCUUGCUUCUUAGAGAGACUGCGUACGCUCCCUAGUACGCGGAAGCACGAGGCAAUAACAGGUCUGUGAUGCCCUUGGAUGUUCUGGGCCGCACGCGCGCUACACUGACACGGCCAGCGAGUGAACUAUUCCUUCGGGAAUGGUGGACCUUGGCUGAUGAAGCCUGGGCAAUCUUGUUUAAACCGUGAAACGUGCUUGGGAUCGUCGCUUGCAAUUUUUCGACGUGAACGAGGAAUUCCUAGUAGGCGCGGUUCAUCAGACCGCACCGAUUGCGUCAAUGCGCUUUGUGCACACCGCCCGUCGCUACUACCGAUGGAAUGGCUUAGUGAGGCCUUUGGAUGUCGUAAUGUAGCCAGCAAUGGCAAUAUUACGACAGAAGCUGGACAAACUUGGUCAUUUAGAGGAAGUAAAAGUC
rnacentral:rRNA from 1 species